CACGUAGGGUGCGAGCGUUGUCCGGAAUUAUUGGGCGUAAAGAGCUCGUAGGCGGUGUGUCGCGUCGGCCGUGAAAACUUGCAGCUUAACUGUGGGCGUGCGGUCGAUACGGGCAUCACUGGAGUUCGGCAGGGGAGACUGGAAUUCCUGGUGUAGCGGUGAAAUGCGCAGAUAUCAGGAAGAACACCCGUGGCUAAGGCGGCUCUCUAGUACGGUACUGACGCUGAGACGCGAAAGCGUGGGGAGCGAACAGG
rnacentral:rRNA from 1 species